rnacentral:ncRNA from 1 species
AGCUUCAUUGGUAUCUCCACGGGGUACGAGCUGGUACCUGGUACUGGCAAACCCUGUAAAUAGAAAUAAUACCUAACUCAAGCCACAUUAGUUCCAAUUAUUAAUUUAAAGCAUCAAAAUGCAUAAAAAAUAACUUGAAACAUAAAGAUACCUUGAGUAACCCCAUUGAGUGGUAAAGAGAUAUUAACUGUGUCAAAACAGAGCCAGAAGUGGUGGUACUGGGUAUGGAAAUGGAGGUCUUUGUGAUAUAAUAUAGGCAAAAACAUGAUCAAAACUGGAGACCAACAACCCACCAAUAGGGAAUGUGAGUUAGUUUUAGACGAUCAUGAGACAUGUUAGUUUUACCCUACUAAUGAACCACACUACAAUAUUAAUUCAACUUAGUCUGAGAGGAGUCAUUGAUUCACACAAUUGGUCAUCGUGCUUGGUUGAAAAUCCAGUGGCACGAAGCUACCAUGUGUUGAAUUUUGAUUGAACACCUCUAAGUCAGAAUCCACGCUAGAAGAAAUUCUUGUCACUCCUCUACUAUAUCUUGACCCAUAGUAGGGGUGUCUCUUCGUCACCCCCAGGGUCCCAUGUCACUUGCAAACCUCAGUCGGGAAGCAUCUUGAUCGGGGUAGCUUUGAAGUUCAAUUUCAAAUGGUCAUUGAGAAGAAUCCUUUGCAGAUGACUUAAAUACAUGAUGGGGUAUUGUAAGUGGCAGAGUGGCCUUCUGCCAUGAUCCAAUGAGAUUCACCCCUUCGUCGCCUCGAUUCAG